CCUACGGGGGGCAGCAGUGGGGAAUAUUGGGCAAUGGAGGCAACUCUGACCCAGCGAUACCGCGUGAAGGAAGAAGGCCUUCGGGUUGUAAACUUCUUUAGACAGGGAAGAAAGAAAUGACAUUACCUGUAGAAUAAGCCACGGCUAACUACGUGCCAGCAGCCGCGGUAAUACGUAGGUGGCAAGCGUUAUCCGGAAUUACUGGGUGUAAAGGGCGCGUAGGUGGGUGCGCAAGUUAGAUGUGAAAUCCCGGGGCUUAACCCCGGACUUGCAUCUAAAACUGUGUAUCUUGAGUGUCAGAGGGGAAAGUGGAAUUCCUAGUGGAGCGGUAAAAUGCGUAGAUAUUAGGAGGAGCAUCGGUGGCGAAGGCGACUUUCUGGCUGACAACUGACACUGAGGCGCGAAAGCGUGGGUAGCGAACAGGAUUAGAUACCCUGGUAGUCCACGCCGUAAACGAUGAUUACUAGGUGUAGGGGGUAUCGACUCCCUCUGUGCCGCAGUUAACGCAUUAAGUAAUCCACCUGGGGAGUACGGCCGCAAGGUUAAAACUCAAAGGAAUUGACGGGGGCCCGCACAAGCAGUGGAGUAUGUGGUUUAAUUCGAAGCAACGCGAAGAACCUUACCAGGGCUUGACAUCCUCUGACCGCUCUAGAGAUAGAGUUUUCUCUUCGGAGACAGAGAGACAGGUGGUGCAUGGUUGUCGUCAGCUCGUGUCGUGAGAUGUUCGGUUAAGUCCGGCAACGAGCGCAACCCUUAUUGUUAGUUGCCAUCAUUAAGUUGGGCACUCUAGCGGGACUGCCGUUGAUA
rnacentral:rRNA from 1 species